GACGAACGCUGGCGGCGUGCUUAACACAUGCAAGUCGAACGGUGAAGCUCCAGCUUGCUGGAGUGGAUCAGUGGCGAACGGGUGAGUAACACGUGAGCAACCUGCCCCCGACUCUGGAAUAAGCGCUGGAAACGGCGUCUAAUACUGGAUACGAGAAGGGUCCGCAUGGGCACUUUCUGGAAAGUUUUUCGGUUGGGGAUGGGCUCGCGGCCUAUCAGCUUGUUGGUGAGGUAAUGGCUCACCAAGGCGACGACGGGUAGCCGGCCUGAGAGGGCGACCGGCCACACUGGGACUGAGACACGGCCCAGACUCCUACGGGAGGCAGCAGUGGGGAAUAUUGCACAAUGGGCGAAAGCCUGAUGCAGCGACGCCGCGUGAGGGAUGACGGCCUUCGGGUUGUAAACCUCUUUCAGCAGGGAAGAAGCGAAAGUGACGGUACCUGCAGAAGAAGCACCGGCUAACUACGUG
rnacentral:rRNA from 1 species